CCAGGUUAUAACCACCUAGCAGGGGAGAGACCAGGUUAUAACCACCUAGCAGGGGAGAGACCAGGUUAUAACCACCUAGCAGGGGAGAGACCAGGUUAUAACCACCUAGCAGGGGAGAGACCAGGUUAUAACCACCUAGCAGGGGAGAGACCAGGUUAUAACCACCUAGCAGGGGAGAGACCAGGUUAUAACCACCUAGCAGGGGAGAGACCAGGUUAUAACCACCUAGCAGGGGAGAGACCAGGUUAUAACCACCUAGCAGGGGAGAGACCAGGUUAUAACCACCUAGCAAGGGAGAGACCAGGUUAUAACCACCUAGCAGGGGAGAGACCAGGUUAUAACCACCUAGCAGGGGACAGACCAGGUUAUAACCACCUAGCAGGGGACAGACCAGGUUAUAACCACCUAGCAGGGGACAGACCAGGUUAUAACCACCUAGCAGGGGAGAGACCAGGUUAUAACCACCUAGCAGGGGAGAGACCAGGUUAUAACCACCUAGCAGGGGAGAGACCAGGUUAUAACCACCUAGCAGGGGACAGAACAGCAGUGGACAGAACAGUACUUUAGUAAUGUGGUGAGGG